GGGACACAAACAAGCCUUCAGGACUGUCUCUAGGACCUGUCCCUCCAUCGCAGGACAGAGAUUUGCUUGUUGGGACAGAAAAAGAUUUCACCCAGUCUCGUCCAAAAGAAAUUUGAAUUUUAUGACAUGAAAUUUAUGAAAAUGUAUUUUGUGAGCUUGAAAUGACAUAAUUUAAUACAUGUAAUAACAACAGAAAUUAGUAACAUGCAGUCUCAAAUAAUGAGUGAGACAGAAAAAAAUGUUAAGCUGGAGACAGUCCUAUGAUACAUAGUGAAUAUCGUGAAUGAAUCUUUGGGAAAAAAUAUAUUAGAAGGCUAGGUGUCUUGGAGAGAAAGAGUAGCCAGACUACAUGGUGAAUCAGAAUGCUAACAUAAAGGUACAUGUAGUUGAAGUUCUUGUGUCACUUUUGUAAGUUUCUAAGAGUUAAUGUCAUUUCUCUGUGACAGAGCAGAAAAAUUCAUCUUCGUGCAAAGAGAAUCUGUUAGAUUAGAGUAGGUAACAUUAAUCAGGCAUAAGACUAGAUGUCAUACAUGUCUCACUGGUACUUUUAUCAGACUGUUUUCUACUAGUUAAGUGCAACAAUGGCAAUAUACUGAUGAAGUGUAGAGAUGCAAUACAUGCUAGGUUUAUCUUCUUCGAGUUGAUCAGUGUUCUACCCAACUCUCUAUCUUGUUCUGUCAUAAUUUAAGCUCAACUCCAACAUUUGCCUUUCGUGGCAGAAUGUCAACUUUUGUCAAAAGUUAAGAAACAACCAAACUUUUGUCAGACAACAGAAUAAGGGGUGGUGGUGAGAACCUUGACAUGUGCUCUUUGUUAAAGGCUUGCAGUGUGUAUGAUGCGUGCAGUUCAAUACUCAAAUCAUCUAAUAAGUAAUGCACCCUCCUUUUGUCAUUAAUCACUGAUGCUUCACUUCAUUGACAAAACUCACAAAAAGAAACAACCAAUUUGAUGUGGCCUUAGAAAUAACGUUCCGAAAAGUUGAGAGUUGUGGCAAAGAGAUUGUGAGUCAACUCUUGAACCAAAGGGCUCUGCUUGCUUGCGUAAGGUAACUGCUGAACCAACAAAGUGUGUCAGAUGUUUGUCUUAAGGCCUGUAGAUGCUCUGAUAAGAUGCUGUUGAUAUUACGUCAUGUGAGGUGUACGUUCUUGUCAAUACUACUGUCAAAGUACAUGUACAGUCAUGUUCCAGAAUUAGAUAUACUUGUACAGUAAGAAAGUAAGCAAGAAUGUUUGUUUCAACCUUGUGAAAGAUGUUUGAUUAAAACACUGACCAGAACUGGCCAUUCCGUGAGUUUUGUGUGGUUAUUCAUUAGCGUUCAGUCCGGGAGGCUUAUUCAGUGCUUAGCUACAUGUGUGUUUGCCAAAGCAAACACCUAUGCCGGGGUUGUUAAUUAUUACUGUAACAUUUUCGGGGCAACUUCCUUGUUGGAGCACGUAGCAGGUCAUUUCAUCGGCUGACACCAUAAGGAAAAGAAGUUACCAGGACUGUUUCUUAAGAAAAGCAGUAGACACGUCGGCUGAGCGACAACUGCCGGGAUUCGAACCCUCCAACUUCUGAUCCAGAAGUACUGGAUUGCUGAGCUACAGGUCCGAGCCCACGUACCUGAACAUUUGCACUGACCAAUUUAGGACCGACUGAGCUGUGUGAGAAGCAACCUGCAGUAGGAAUAUUCCCUAUACAGCUCAUUGCUUUUAGACAACACCAAGAACACCCGAUGAUCAGCAUGGCUGGGCCUAGGAUGAUGUUUCUGACAGGCGUCAAUCUUCUUGCCUUCCUCCACCUGUGUCAGG